rnacentral:lncRNA from 1 species
GAAACUUGGUCAACAAGUUAACCACAUGUUGUUAGCUUGUGGAACAAGCUAACUAUGUGGCAUACAUAUAAAAAACUUGUCUUGCAAGUUAAGAUAUGUGUCUUGCAAAGUCAAUAUGAUUUGGAGUUCUUGUAGGACAUCACCAUGUAGCUCCUAGUUAAAAGUAUAUAUGGAGGUAAGAGUGAAGCCUUCUUUGCUCUUAUUAAUGCCUUUUUAGUCCUUUGUAUUGUUUCAAGACUUUGUAAUCUUCUUGUCUUUGGCAAUAGUCAUUCUAGUUUAAUAUUAUAUCAUCUUUGAGUGAUUUUCUAGACUUUUCAAGUGACACAAGAGUAUAUUGACAUUUUAGUUCUUUGAGAUUCAUGUCCUUGAUAGUCACUCAAAAUAUCACC